AGGAGAAUGUGGAGAAAACCUCCUGUGAAUCAGAAUCGCGUACUCCCCAGAUGCCACCCAGUGCGGAGGAGAGUGAUUUAUACCACAGAGAGGUUUGGAGAGGAUGUCCCAUCCAGGAACCCUUAACAGACCCACUUCACUCUAAGUGGUUUAGCAUCAAGAGGCUCACGCUAAACAAAAAGGUGUACCCUAAGAAAGCCACCCAAAGAGCCUGCAUGAAGGGUGU